ensembl:snoRNA small nucleolar RNA, C/D box 53B
UUGCCAUGAUGACUUGAGUUUGGUUUCGCAUCUUGCUGAGUUCCAGUGAUGCCUCUUUUCUCUUGGCUGUCUGAGCAG